UCGACAUGUGGGGAUUAUGGGGAUUAGAGUUUGAGAUGAGAUUUAGGUGGGGACACAGAGCCAAGCCAUAUCACCCAUGAAUGGUAACUGGCCAGAAAUAUAAGUGCAUUUCAACUAUCUUGGGACAUCAAAAACUAAUUUGGGGAAUUGAAAGAAAGCUUAAAUAUACCUAUAAAUCAUUGAAUUCCAUGGCUCUUAAAGCACUAAUUCUUUUAGUUAAUAAAUAAAUAUUGUUAUUGUGAAUAUGGAACCUUCUUUUUGUGUGACUUUAGUAAAAAAAAUCCUGAACUAGAAUUUGAUUGGUACAGUUCAUCUUUUGAGUCAAACCCUAUGACAAAGACUUGAUUGAGAUGUCUGCCUUUGAUUUAAUAAGCUGUUUCAGGGUGGAGGUUGGGAUACUCAUCCAGAACAUGUAUGUUUAAUGCAGUCAAAAACAAAAAAUGGGAAUUAUCCAAGGCUGCCUUAGAACAUCAUAUAGACAGGUAAGGAGAAACCCACCCACUGUUAAUUACUGAGUUUGAUCAGUGCAAUAUUAGGGUUAGACAAUGUUGCAAUGGGACAAAAAGAAGGCUUUUUGGAAAACAUAGCUCAGUAGGGAUCUGGGCUGGGGAUACAGAUCGUGGAUUCCUUCAGCUUAUGAACAGCAAGUGAAAACAUAAUAUUAUUUGUAAUCAUUGAGGAAGACUCUAAAUUGAAAAGAAGAAAUGGACUAGAGGAAAAAACACGAGAACCACCAUUCUACUGUCUUUUUUAUGUGAAAAUUGAAAAUUCAUCCAGAACAACAAACUCUAUUAGUUCCACUGGGGGAAAGAGAAAGAAACAUGAUGAAAAUUGUCAUUUAAAACAGAGAAAGAGGGAAGGCACAUGAACAAGUGGUCACAGAGCAAAGAGAAAAGCCAGAAAGGGACCAGAAAAAAGAAAUUCCUUAAAGAAAAAGCCAAAAGUAUCAAAAGCCCGACAAGACAAAUUUGAUUAUUUGAAAAAGAUGUUGACAAUGGCUUCAUAAAAGUUGUGUUAAUUUUUUUAAAGAAGAUUUAAUGAGAAUGGUGCAAUGAGAAUCCUGAAAAGGUAAUAAUUUGAGUAGUACAUGGAAGGCAUGUGAAUAUAUUGUUAGUGUAGACAACACUUUGGAAAUAUUUGGUUGUAAAGAGUUAGAAAGAAGUUAGAAAGGUUGAGGGAGAUCUAGGGUCCUAAUAGAGAUUUUUUUGUGAGUGAUUUUUGUUUUGGUUUGAAAAUGGAAAAAUGUGAUUAUAAAAAAUGUGUAAGGUAUGAUUAUAUUAGAAAGAAUUAUUUCAAGAGAGAGGGGCUAGGUAUAAAAAGAGAUAAAUUAUAGAGAAAGAACUACCAAGAAGGUAAGAAAACAUAAGACCUGGAACACAGGGAGCUGGUCUUAGGUGGGAGGAGGUGCACAUUUUCUAUUCCUCUCAUUACAGGAAAGAAGUAUCAUAAGAAUAUAGGUAUAGCUGACUAUUUUAAUAAAAAGAAUACGAGGAAAUUUUUUUUCUUUGGUGAAACUGAUAUAUUUCCCAAAGAUGGCCAUGAUAAUGUAUCCCAUAGCAUAUGCUGUUCUUUGAAAGAGUUGUUGACUUUUCUCUAUUGAGACACAGGGUCCUGUUCCUUUUCCUUGAACUACAUGGACUUGUGAGAACAGCAGAAGUGAUACUGUGAUGUAAGAGGCUAGGUCAUAAAAAGCAACACAACAGCUGUCUCCCUCUCCCUUUCUCUCUCUCUCUCUCUCUCUCAACACGUGCACAUUUGGAGACCUAAGCUUCUGUGUAAAAUUACAGCAUAAUUGAAGCUCAGUGUCCAUGGCAGGUACUGGAAAGAGAGAGAUUUCCAAGGAGCCACGAUCCAGCUCUCAGAUAUUCAAGUCUUUUCAGACCAGGCACCAGAUAGGAACGGGCAUAUCACACAACUCUGAUCAGCGGGCUAUAAGAGAAUUCUCCUGGGAUCUUCUGAAGACGAUCCCACACAGUUAAUAAAGUGAACAUGAAGGAAGAUGGAUCUUUCUUCUUGUGACGCCCAGAACUGUGAGGCUACCUUUACUACCUGAUAAAGAGACCUGCUUUAAAUACCUCUUUCUAAUUGCUAAGGACCUUGCCAACAUGUGAGAAGGAUGCUGAGGGAAGAGCUUUUGUUCUUGAUGCUGCCAUGGAGACUGAAUUAGCCAACUCUGGAAUCGUCUCCGUCCAGGUUUCUUGUUAUAAAAGAGAGAAGAAACAACUGAGUCAUCCUCAAGUAAGCUCCCCCAGGAUACUAAGGUGCCUCAGUGGAAAAAUACAUGUAGUCUUACAGAACAGUACAACUUAACUCAUCAGUCAAUACCGGACCUUAGAUUUUGGCCUUACAGGGACUCAAAAACUUGUGACCAGGCUAUGACUAGGUUUAUUAAUCCCAAAUCAUUUACAGAAUUGUAUGACCAGCACAGUUCUCCACAUGAUUUGAAUGUUACAUUGGAUUUAAUAUAUCCAACACACUAGCUACUUCUCAGCCUCUGUAGUAGGGCUCACAUGGAGAAGCACUGGAACAAGUUUUUUAAUCUUUUAUUUAGAAACUGAUCUGCGGAACCUUCAGGAGAUUGGUCUCAAGAGACGCAUCUGCCUUCUCGAUGGGAUUGUUGGCCUCUCGUGUUGAAAGGAUCGCAUUUCAGGAGCCAGCAGGUCAUUUCAUCUCAUCCUCUAGUAUCAUCUUACAGGCUCCUAAGCCACAUGAAAGUCACACAUGCCAACUGAUGGCUUACUUUGGUUUUGUCAAAUGGUGGAUACUUAGUCACAGUUUGAAAUGAAAAUACACCUGGUAUGUGCCACCUUAGAAGGUUUAAUUUUUCUCAGGGGUUACAGAAAAAAAAAUAUGUGAUAAGCCAUGGUCAACCGAUGUGUAUUUAAAGUUCACAUUUUAAUGUACUUUAAUUUUUGAUGAAGACUACUGAGAGGAAGGAGCAGCGAAGAAUGAAACAACAAGGUAGGGGCAGAGGAAAGAAAACAGGGCAACAGAAUGAGAUGGAUUGAAAAGAAAACAACCCGCAUGAAACUAGGAUGGGAUUAGCUGAAGUACAGCAGGAGGAGGCUGAAGCAGUGACAAGGGAAAAUGUCUCAGGCAGGCCUGCCACUGCCAUUUCCUCAGGCGAGAGGACAGAGAGGCCCACAUUCCACUCUACAUGUCAAUAUCUAAAGGGGAUACAUGAGACCAGCACACCACAAAGUCAAUUACGGUUUGCCCUCCUCCCUUGACAAAUACAUUCUUAUGACAACAAAACUGAAAAAAAAAAAAAUAAGUAAAGCCAUCACAUCUGAAUUUUGCUAUAUUUUCUCAUAUCUGGGGUUUCUGUUGAUAACCUAGCAGUGUUUGGAUGAGAAGGAAAAUAGAGAUGUGGAUAUAAAAAUUAUUAAUACUUACUCAAUAUGAUUUAUUUUGUGCUUCUACUUCAGGAAUAUUACUAAUUCUAUUAUUAAGAUUUUUAUUUAAUUUGAU
rnacentral:lncRNA from 1 species